rnacentral:rRNA from 1 species
AUACGGAGGGUGCAAGCAUUAAUCGGAAUUACUGGGCGUAAAGCGCGCGUAGGCGGCUUGAUAAGUCGGAUGUGAAAUCCCCGGGCUUAACCUGGGAAUUGCAUUCGAUACUGUCAGGCUAGAGUGUGGUAGAGGGAAGUGGAAUUUCCGGUGUAGCGGUGAAAUGCGUAGAUAUCGGAAAGAACAUCAGUGGCGAAGGCGGCUUCCUGGAUCAACACUGACGCUGAGGUGCGAAAGCGUGGGGAGCAAACAGUAUUAGAAACCCUAGUAGUCC